rnacentral:tRNA from 1 species
GGUCUAUUAGGUUAAUUUAUUUAAACUUUCAGUUUGUGGUGCUGGAGAUUUGCUAUUAGAAGUAUAAGACUA